CUGAAAGCAUCUAAGUGCGAAGCCGGCCACAAGAUUAGAUUUCCUCAUGAGGGUCGUCAAAGACGAUGACGUUGAUAGGAUGCAGGUGUAAAGACAGCGAUGUCAAAGCCGAGCCUUACUAAUUGCCCGAAACUUGCAGCCGC
rnacentral:ncRNA from 1 species